GGGCGUGUGGCCUAGCCAGGAUAGGGCGCUGGCCUUCUAAGCCAGUGGUCGCGGGUUCGAAUCCCGCCGCGCCCG
rnacentral:tRNA from 1 species